rnacentral:rRNA from 1 species
GAGUUUGAUCAUGGCUCAGGAAGAACGCUAGCGGCAGGCCUUAUACAUGCAAGUCGAGGGGCAGCAUUUACUUCGGUAAAUGGCGACCGGCGCACGGGUGAGUAACGCGUAUGCAACCUACCUUUAACUGGGGCAUAGCUCGAGGAAACUCGAAUUAAUUCCCCAUAGUACAUUAUAAUAUCUCAUGAUAUAAAUGUUAAAGAUUUAUCGGUUAAAGAUGGGCAUGCGUCUGAUUAGUUUGUUGGUAAGGUAACGGCUUACCAAGACUACGAUCAGUAGGGGGUCUGAGAGGAUGAUCCCCCACACUGGUACUGAGACACGGACCAGACAUCUACGGAUGGCAGCAGUAAGGAAUAUUGGGCAAUGGGCGCAAGCCUGACCCAGCCAUGCCGCGUGCAGGAUGACGACCCUAUGGGUUGUAAACUGCUUUUAUAUAGGAAGAAAAUACUCUUGCGAGAGGAUCUGACGGUACUAUAUGAAUAAGGACCGGCUAACUCCGUGCCAGCAGCCGCGGUAAUACGGAGGGUUCAAGCGUUUUCCGGAUUUAUUGGGUUUAAAGAGUGCGUAGGUGGUUUAUUAAGUCAGUGGUGAAAUCCUGCAGCUUAACUGUAGAACUGCCAUUGAUACUGGUAAACUUGAGUUUGGUUUAGGUAAGCGGAAUUUAUGAUGUAGCGGUGAAAUGCAUAGAUAUCAUAAGGAACACCAAUAGCGAAGGCAGCUUAUUGGACCACAACUGACACUGAGGCACGAAAGCGUGGGUAGCGAACAGGAUUAGAUACCCUGGUAGUCCACGCCGUAAACGAUGCUCACUCGAUGUUAGCGAUAUACUGUUAGCGUCCAAGCUAAAGCGUUAAGUGAGCCACCUGGGGAGUACGCCGGCAACGGGUGAAACUCAAAAGGAAUUGACNGGGGNUCCGCACAAGCGGGGGAGCAUGGGGGU